CGGAAGUUCAAGUCUUCCCAGGCCCACCACUUUCAUCGAGUGAGCAUUCGUCUUCUGGUUACGGGGCCAUAGCUCAGCUGGGAGAGCGCGUGCUUUGCAAGCAUGAGGUCGUCGGUUCGAUCCCGUCUGGCUCCACCAGAUGGUUUGAUCAUCGACUGAUCGUGCAUCUAAAUCGUCCGCGAAACAUCACUUCGCACUUGUUAGUCCGGAUGGACGGCAAGCUGCGUGAUUUCUGACAUCGUAAAGAGGAGAUCGAUCCGAGUUGGAUCGUGCAGAAGGUUUUCUGCGCGAGACUUCAUUAUCUCCGGAUCAUUUCGGCGCUCGUGCGCCUUUCAGUGUAGCUCACAAGGCUGCGUCUGAAGGACGGACGAGUUGUAAAUGAUCCUUUUAGCGAAGCUUGACCGCCUCGCUAUCGGAACGAUCUUACGAAGCAAGCUGGUCUUUCUAAUCAUUGUCCGGCUGUACGUAGCGUUCAUCGAGGGCGCGUGCCGCAAGGCAAUCGUACAGACAACAUUCUGCCGAGUGUGUGGACAUUGAUAAUGAGAGCAAUCAAGUGCCUUAAGGGUGUUCGGUGGAUGCCUUGGCGCUGAGAGGCGAUGAAGGACGUGCUACGCUGCGAUAAGCCGUGGGGAGCUGCGAAGAAGCUUUGAUCCGCGGAUUUCCGA
rnacentral:misc_RNA from 1 species